UCUCGAUUGGUCUAGUGGUAAGGAUACCUGCUUGUCAGUAGUUGCAAAUCGCAGGUGGCCGGGGUUCGAUUCCCCGAUCGAGAG